CGCAUAGACAGCCAGGAGGUUGGCUCAGAAGCAGCCACCCUUGAAAGAGUGCGUAACAGCUCACUGGUCUAGUGGUUCCGCGCCGACAAUGUAGCGGGGCUCAAGCACACCACCGAAGACGCGGCAGUAGCUUUGCUACUGGGUAGGAGAGCGUCCCAUGCGGGGCGAAGCGGCGGCGCAAGCCCGCCGUGGACUGCAUGGGAGUGAGAAUGCAGACAUGAGUAGCGAAAGACGGGUGAAGAUCCCGUCCGCUGGACGACCAAGGGUUCCAGGGCCACGUUCAUCGUCCCUGGGUGAGUCGGGUCCUAAGGCGAGGCCGACAGGCGUAGUCGAAUGGAUGAACGGGUCGAUAUUCCCGUACCGGCAUGCAACCGACAAAACCGAAUCCGCGAGUACUAACCUCCGGGUCCGGGCUUACGUCUCCUUCGGGAGCCGGAUGCCCUGGCCUGUUGGGACCGUAACGGUAGUAGGUCAGCGCGGGAGUGACGCAGAAGGGUAGCCGGCCGCGGAGGUGGUCUUCCGUGGUCAAGCACGCAGCCCGUCCCACAGGCAAAUCCGUGGGGCGCGUGGGCGAGGUGCGAUGAUGGGCGCCGCAGGGCGCGAUAUCCGGUGAUCCCGGCUGCCGAGAAAAGCUUCGGCGUGAGGCGGCGUGCCGCCCGUACCCCAAACCGACACUGGUGGUCAGGUAGAGAAUACCAAAGCGAUCGAGCGAAUCCUGGUCAAGGAACUCGGCAAAUCACUCCCGUUCCUUCGGUUUAAGGGAGACCCCCGAUGGUGAAGCGGCUUGCCCGUGGAGCUUUUGGGGGUGGCACAGACCAGGGGGUAGCGACUGUUUACCAAAAACACAGGAGCGUGCGAAGGCGCAAGCCGCUGUAUACGCUCUGACGCCUGCCCGGUGCCGGAAGGUUAAGAGGAUCCGUCAGGCUUCGGCCGAAGCGGUGAAUUCAAGCCCCGGUAAACGGCGGUGGUAACUAUAACCAUCCUAAGGUAGCGAAAUUCCUUGUCGGGUAAGUUCCGACCUGCACGAAUGGCGUAACGACUUCCCCACUGUCUCGACCAGGAGCUCGGCGAAAUUGCAGUACGAGUAAAGAUGCUCGUUAAGCGCAGAAGGACGAAAAGACCCCGGGACCUUUACUAUACCUUGGUAUUGGCAUUCGGUGUGGAUUGUGUAGCAUAGGCGGAAGGCUUCGAAGCCACGGCGCCAGCCGCGGUGGAGCCGCAAGGUGAAAUACCGCUCUGUUCGCAUUGGAUGUCUAACCUCGACCAGUCAUCCUGGUCAGGGACAGUGCCUGGCGGGUAGUUUAACUGGGGCGGUUGCCUCCCAAAGAGUAACGGAGGCGCUCAAAGGUUCCCUCAGCCCGGUUGGCAAUCGGGUGGCGAGUGUAAGUGCACAAGGGAGCUUGACUGCGAGACUGACGGGUCGAGCAGGGACGAAAGUCGGAACUAGUGAUCC
rnacentral:rRNA from 1 species